GGGGAGAACGGAGUGUCUGGGUCAUGGAAACAGAUCCUCACACCACGGUGCUUUGCACAGACACUGCCAUAAAACAAUACCUUUAGUUACUGUUUACAACUGUUCGUUUGCUUGAAGCUUACGCUAUCAGAAGGCUACUCCAGACUGUGACUUGUACAAAGAUUGUGGAGAUGAGGGCAGUGAAUGAGCAGCUGCAUGGUACCUAAUGUGUCUGGGGUUAAACCACAACAGAACUAUGAAUAAUUCACCCUUAAGCUGCCAGCCCAGAUCCACCUGAGCCACUUCAACCCUAGCAGCCUGAUCCACCUUCUGGAUCUUGUUUUGUUCUCCAGUAUCCUGGGUUAACCCACAACAAUGAUCUUAAAACAGUAUGUCCUGAGUUACCACAUCAGUCAGAAGUGUACCUUUCUUUUUCUGUACUGGCAUCUCUAAGGCAAUGUGGACGAGUCUGCACAAGAUAUGGUUCUCCAAACUUCCAGGAGCCAUAGUGUCCAGAAUGGGUCCUUCAUGGAGAUUUGGUCUUCCCAGCCUCACACACCUCAGAUAAACUGGAGCAGCAGUAAAAGAGACUGACAAGAAGCUACAGAAACCACAUGGACACCUAGAAACAAGUGCUGAUGCUGAGGUUUUCUGAAAAGAAGUUUAUGGCCUCUAGAAGAUCUCUGCCAAUAAAUUUUAAGUGACAAGGUACAAGGGCUAUGUCUUUGGCCUUUUUCACAGAUAGAACAGG